AUGGAGGUGGCAAUCUUAAGGACUAAAGAGAGCACUUUGCCAAGCUUUAUAAGCCCAUUAGCUUAUGAAUAUUAAGCCUUCAAGAACUGAUUUCCAGCAAAGAGAAAGAAGAUGAACCCAUCAUCUUCUUCAAAGUUCUCAAAAUUUCUAAGGCUUGGGGUUUAUUCGUUUGACAUCGGAUUCACGUGAUUUUCGCGGCGUUGGAACGAGGAGAAGAUUGUCUACUGAUCUAACCUAUCAAUUAAAGAUUCUUCGUUACACAUCGGAAUUGAGUGAUUUUCGCGGCGACGGAAAGAGGGGAGGAAGACCUACUGAUAUACAGCUUCAAUUCAAGACGCAUCGACGCAGCACGUAAUCGUCGGAGUUAGCUUAACGGGGUUCGGCUAUCAUUUUAAUGUCGUGCUUAUUGGAUGGCGAAUUUUGUACCUAGACUUGGAGUGACUAGAAGUCCAUCAUUUUUCCGAGAGUCUGUCUUGCCAUGUACAGACCGGCUUCCGUGACCGCUGCAGUAGUACAUUGUGUGACCAGUCAUGACCUAGGAUAAUAUUAUAGUUUUGGAAAAUGUUUAUAACGAUGUUAGAUUUACGUAGCCAGUGUUUACAAAAUAACUAUUAAUGUUUUCAUAAUUAAAUGCUUCCGUGUUAUAACAUAAUUGCGAAAAAUUUAUAGUGAAUUUCAGGCUUGCUACGGGAUUCGGAACUACAAUUCCCAUUCCCUAGAGCCGGUCGCGGCCCUCGAUUUUGGGUCGUGACAAAGUUGGUAUCAGAGCAGUUGGUCCAGUUACCACUGCCAGUCUAUUAAAAGUGUCUAUUUGACCUUAAGUACCUAGGAACUACUGCAGCGUAUAGAGUCGAGCCUUAUUGACUAUAUGUGUUUGAUUGAAUUUGUUUGAUGCUAUAUACUCUCUAUGGCCGAGUAGAA